rnacentral:rRNA from 1 species
AUGCCAAUGCUUAUCGGGAUUGUAGUAGUAUUCACCAUUCACGUGUUUGGACUCUACUAGUGGUACAUGAAUGAUGACCUUGUUAGACCUUUGGUGAUGCUUCCUCCAAAAGAAGUACCACCAUUCUGGCAUACUAUAUUUUUCAUUGCGGUGAAUGGUAUUCUCUUUUCCCACAUAUCAUGA